rnacentral:rRNA from 1 species
CCUACGGGAGGCAGCAGUGGGGAAUAUUGGGCAAUGGGCGCAAGCCUGACCCAGCAACGCCGCGUGAAGGAAGAAGGCUUUCGGGUUGUAAACUUCUUUUAAGGGGGAAGAGCAGAGUACGGUUCCCUUUGAAUUAGGCACGGCUAACUUCGGGGCAGCAGCCGCGGUAAUACGGAGGUGGCAAGCGUUUUCCGGAUUUACUGGGUGGAAAGGGCGUGGAGGCGGGGAGACAAGUCAGAUGUGAAAACCACGGGCUCAACCCGUGAACUGCAUUUGAAACUGUUUCCCUUGAGUGUCGGAGAGGUAAUCGGAAUUCCUUGUGUAGCGGUGAAAUGCGUAGAUAUAAGGAAGAACACCAGUGGCGAAGGCGGAUUACUGGACGAUAACUGACGGUGAGGCGCGAAAGCGUGGGGAGCAAACAGGAUUAGAUACCCGGGUAGUC